UACGGAGGGUGCAAGCGUUAUUCGGAAUUACUAGGUGUAAAGGGCGCGUAGGCGGUUUAUUAAGUCGAAUGUUAAAUCCACUAGCUUAACUAGCUGGCUGCAUUCGAAACUAAUAGGCUUGAGUAUAGAAGAGGAAAAUGGAAUUCCUAGUGUAGCGGUGAAAUGCGUAGAUAUUAGGAGGAACACCAAUAGCGAAAGCAGUUUUCUGGUCUAUUACUGACGCUGAGGCGCGAAAGCUAGGGGAU
rnacentral:rRNA from 1 species